GACGAACGCUGGCGGCGUGCUUAACACAUGCAAGUCGAACGGAAAGGCCCUGCUUUUGUGGGGUGCUCGAGUGGCGAACGGGUGAGUAACACGUGAGUAACCUGCCCCUGACUUUGGGAUAACUUCAGGAAACUGGGGCUAAUACCGGAUAGGAGCUCCUGCUGCAUGGUGGGGGUUGGAAAGUUUCGGCGGUUGGGGAUGGACUCGCGGCUUAUCAGCUUGUUGGUGGGGUAGUGGCUUACCAAGGCUUUGACGGGUAGCCGGUCUGAGAGGGUGGCCGGCGACAUGGGGACUGAGAUACGGCCCAGACUCCUACGGGAGGCAGCAGUGGGGAAUAUUGCACAAUGGGCGGAAGCCUGAUGCAGCAACGCCGCGUGCGGGAUGACGGCCUUCGGGUUGUAAACCGCUUUCGCCUGUGACGAAGCGUGAGUGACGGUAAUGGGUAAAGAAGCACCGGCUAACUACGUG
rnacentral:rRNA from 1 species